CAUCUCAGAAUAUUUCUCUUUGGUUAAGACCAUUCAUCAUGUUCUCCUUCAUAUACAUGUGUCUGUGGAUUUUACUGGGUGACACCAUGGGAAAUUCAGUAGACCCAUUUUUCACUCAUAAAGCUGUAAAUGAAGGUGAAAAUAUUACUCUGUCCUGCAGAUACAACCCUAGCAUUACUACAGGGAACUACUUGCACUGGUACAGACAAUAUUCAAAAUUGGAACCUGAGUUUCUUCUUUAUAUUUUUCAAAGCGGAACUUUAAGUCUAAACAUUCCCCCAAGAAUGACUGCUAAAAUCGACGAUAAUAAAAAAGAAGUGGAUCUGAUCAUCUCCUCUGCUGCUGUAUCAGACUCUGCACUAUACUACUGUGCUCUGGCGCCCACAGUGACAGAAAAUCCAAUCACACUGUACAAAAUCCCGGGCACAGUUUUUUGAGUUUGAAUAAUGUUUAUGC